CGGGGCUUUGGGGGCGAGAUGAGCUUGCCCGGUAUCCAACUGGCCCACAAAGUCCCGCU
rnacentral:pre_miRNA from 1 species